AUGCCAGAAAGCUUGAAGGUGCCCUGUGCAGGAGAGAAGCAGGCAGACAGGGAAAGACUGAAAGUGAAACCAACUCCUCCACCACCCCCACCUCCCAAAGAGAAACCAAUACCCACUAAACCACCCUGCCAGCCUUGCCCAGUCUCUGGAGGACCAUCAGUUUUCAUCUUCCCCCCAAACCCCAAGGACAACCUCAUGAUCUCCCGCACCCCUGAGGUCACGUGCCUGGUUGUGGACGUGAGCAAGGAGGAACCCGAGGUGACAUUCAACUGGUACGUGGACGGCGUGGAGGUGCACACAGCCAAGACAGGGCAGCGGCAGGAGCAAUUCAACAGCACCUACCGCGUGGUCAGCGUGCUGCCCAUCCUGCACCAGGACUGGCUGAAGGGGAAGGUCUUCAAGUGCAAGGUCAACAACAAAGCCCUCCCGUUUCCCAUCGAGAAGACCAUCUCCAAAGCCCCGGGGCAGGCCCGGGAGCCGCAGGUCUACACCUUUGGCCCACACCCAGAGGAGCUGUCCAAGCAAGUACUCAGCCUCUCCUGCCUGGUGAAGAGCUUCUAUCCCAACGAAAUUGAUGUCUCAUGGCAGAGCAAUGGGCAGCCGUUGCCUGAGAGCAGCUUUGUGUCCACCCCGGCCCAGGAGGAGAAGGACGGAACCUUCUUCCUCUACAGCAAGUUAACCAUAGACCACAGCAAGUGGCCAGGAAGCAAUGAGUAUUCCUGUGUCGUGAUGCAUGAGGCCCUGCACAACCACUACACACAGAAGACCGUCUCCCAGUCUCCCGGUAAAUGAGUGUGACCAGUGAGCACCCCUCUCCACCCCCUGUAAAUAUCUCCCAGGCACCCCAGCAUGGAAAUAAAGCACCCAGCACUGCCCUGGGAUUCUGCAAGA